GGGAAUUUAGCUCAGUGGUAGAGCACUUGCCUAGCAAGCACAAGGCCCUGGGUUCGGUCCCCAGCUCU
rnacentral:tRNA from 1 species